CACGUAGGGGGCAAGCGUUGUCCGGAAUUAUUGGGCGUAAAGAGCGCGUAGGCGGUCGUACAAGUCGCGUGUGAAAGCCCCCGGCUCAACUGGGGAGGGUCACGCGAUACUGUUCGACUCGAAGGCAGGAGAGGGUAGUGGAAUUCCCGGUGUAGUGGUGAAAUGCGUAGAUAUCGGGAGGAACACCAGUGGCGAAGGCGACUACCUGGCCCAUUCUUGACGCUGAGGCGCAAAAGCUAGGGGAGCGAACGGG
rnacentral:rRNA from 1 species